UAAAACGCAGCGGAAUACAGUCACUGCGGACCAGGUGAACGGGAAAUCCGGUGUGAAUCCGGAACGGUCGCGCCACUGUGAGUUCCGUCGGGCUCUGCCCGGUGGGCGAGUCAGGGCUCCGGCACUUGGUGACACACACAC
rnacentral:ncRNA from 2 species